rnacentral:rRNA from 1 species
UACGGGGGGGGGCAAGCGUUGUUCGGAUUUACUGGGCGUAAAGGGCGCGUAGGCGGUCAGCACAAGUCAGUUGUGAAAUCUCCGAGCUUAACUCGGAAAGGUCAACUGAUACUGUGCGACUAGAGUGCGGAAGGGGCAACUGGAAUUCUUGGUGUAGCGGUGAAAUGCGUAGAUAUCAAGAGGAACACCUGCGGCGAAGGCGGGUUGCUGGGCCGACACUGACGCUGAAGCGCGAAAGCCAGGGGAGCGAACGGG